AGUGAACGCUGGCGGUAGGCCUAACACAUGCAAGUCGAACGGCAGCACAGUAAGAGCUUGCUCUUACGGGUGGCGAGUGGCGGACGGGUGAGGAAUACAUCGGAAUCUACUUUUUCGUGGGGGAUAACGUAGGGAAACUUACGCUAAUACCGCAUACGACCUACGGGUGAAGGCAGGGGAUCUUCGGACCUUGCGCGAUUGAAUGAGCCGAUGUCGGAUUAGCUAGUUGGCGGGGUAAAGGCCCACCAAGGCGCCGAUCCGUAGCUGGUCUGAGAGGAUGAUCAACCACACUGGAACUGAGACACGGUCCAGACUCCUAAGGGAGGCAGCAGUGGGGAAUAUUGGACAAUGGGCGGAAGGCUGAUCCAGCCACAACGCGUGGGUGAAGAAGGCCUUCGGGUUGUAAAGCCCUUUUGUUGGGAAAGAAAAGCAGCAGGUUAAUACCCCGCUGUUCUGACGGUACCCAAAGAAUAAGCACCGGCUAACUUCGUG
rnacentral:rRNA from 1 species